UUGCCCUUGAUAGUCUCAUUUUUCUCCAUUCAAAAGUGUCAAGUGAACGUAUUUUUCCAAAGUUAAUCUCAUCAAAACAAAGCCACGAAAUCGGCUCAUUACAGAUACUCUGAUUGGGCUCGUGCACACCUCAGAGUGUUUUUAAAAUUCAGGAGAGUGCACUGCUUUCAAGCCAACUAGCACUAUGUUGCCAUCGAUGAUGGCAUUCGAUUUGUACUGCAAAAUGAAUCGCUCAACAUCUGGCAACACGCAGGUAUCUGAUGACAGCAACUCGGAGGAGGACUUUGAACAUUACCACUAAGGUAAGGUCUAGUUGUGCCUAGUUGUUGUUUUUUACGUAUUGUGGUAAUUUGUACGUUGUGUCAAAAUGCUAUUUGUAUAGAUAGAAGCUGUUAACUCUCCAUUUUACUCGUCAACGAUCCUUUUCCUCUGAAUACGAUAAUUUUGAGGUUCUGGUACGAUACUUUUGACAUUUCCAAUUGGCAACACUGUAGCAUAAGCAGACUUCUUCUGUGGUCAUAUUUCUCUUUCAGAGUCAUGGCAGAGCAACAUUUUAAGGAGAGCAUUGCUGGACAGACUCGUCCUCCCACAAUCCUUGGUUAAAGAAAUGCAACAACAGCACAAAUACGAUGCUGUAGGGCUGAGUAAAUAUUUGUGGAAUUUUUAUGAUCCCUCCUGAUGCUAUAGAGAUUCAUUAAGGACCACUUGGACAAUACAGAAUGUUUAUAACCACAAUGAUGAAACGAAAAGAGAGACAGGGAAGUAUUCUAAUCCAUCUAUUACUGUCUAGACAUGCCUUGAGGAGAAUAUGCUAAUGCACUUCUCCCCCUCCUGACUUCUUCACCCUUAGUUUCAGGUCAGCUUUGGUUUGGCUUUUCUCGUGGUUUAAGAAGGAAAGGAAAAGGAUUGCAGAGAAUAUGUACUCUGCCUUAUACAGCAAGA